UACGAAGGGGGCUAGCGUUGUUCGGAUUUACUGGGCGUAAAGCGCACGUAGGCCGAUCGUUAAGUCGGGGGUGAAAUCCUGGAGCUCAACUCCAGAACUGCCUUCGAUACUGGCGAUCUUGAGUCCGGAAGAGGUGAGUGGAACUCCUAGUGUAGAGGUGGAAUUCGUAGAUAUUAGGAAGAACACCAGUGGCGAAGGCGGCUCACUGGUCCGGUUCUGACGCUGAGGUGCGAAAGCGUGGGGAGCAAACAGG
rnacentral:rRNA from 1 species